GGGCCGGUAGUUCAGUCUGGAAUGAAUGCCGCCCUCGCACGGCGGAGGUCGCGGGUUCAAAUCCCGCCCGGUCCACCA
rnacentral:tRNA from 1 species